rnacentral:lncRNA from 1 species
CAAUGGCGGGAUCUGCGUUCGCCGCCUUCGUGUCUCGGUGCGUCUUUGUACGUCGCACGUUCGGAUAACACUUUUUCCGACGGCUGGACAUCCUUCUUGUACCUUGACGCUAGCUGGAUGACGGGACCUCAUCAUGAUCAGUGUAUUGCUUGCCUAUGUCUACAAGAACCGUCAUGCGUGGCCUGUGACAGCAAGCUUUUGUGGGCAGCAAGUGCUCUCCUACGAAGGCUGGCCUACUCUGGCAGCGGCGGCAAUCAUCUUCAAGAUUUAUCCAUGAUCACCUUUGCUGCUAUUUGUCACUCUUGUUGAUUACACUUUCUGCAUCUUUUCUAAUUUAUUAGGUAAUAAAGUAUGAGUAUGUGACAUGGUGUGAAGUUGAUGUCUUGCUGCAUUCUCGCAUGCAAUCAUCUUUUAUGCAUGAAAAGCUCAUCAU